UACGUAGGGUGCAAGCGUUGUCCGGAAUUAUUGGGCGUAAAGAGCUCGUAGGCGGUCUGUCACGUCGGCUGUGAAAACCCGAGGCUCAACCUCGGGCCUGCAGUCGAUACGGGCAAACUAGAGUACUGCAGGGGAGACUGGAAUUCCUGGUGUAGCGGUGAAAUGCGCAGAUAUCAGGAGGAACACCGGUGGCGAAGGCGGGUCUCUGGGCAGUAACUGACGCUGAGGAGCGAAAGCGUGGGGAGCGAAUGGG
rnacentral:rRNA from 1 species